rfam:Coccidioides immitis RMSCC 2394 supercont1.24 mitochondrial scaffold, whole genome shotgun sequence.
UGCGGAUUAAUGUAACAGUAACAUACUUGGCUCAUGACCAAUUUAUUUAGGUGCAAUUCCUAAGUCCGCAA